AUUGAACGCUGGCGGCAGGCCUAACACAUGCAAGUCGAACGCGAAAGUCCUUCGGGAUGAGUAGAGUGGCGGACGGGUGAGUAACGCGUAGGAAUCUGUCCGGUAGUGGGGGAUAACGUUCCGAAAGGAACGCUAAUACCGCAUACGCCCCAUGGGGGAAAGCGGGGGAUCUUCGGACCUCGCGCUAUCGGAGGAGCCUGCGUCGGAUUAGCUAGUUGGUAGGGUAAAGGCCUACCAAGGCGACGAUCCGUAGCUGGUCUGAGAGGAUGAUCAGCCACACCGGAACUGAGACACGGUCCGGACUCCUACGGGAGGCAGCAGUGGGGAAUAUUGCGCAAUGGGGGCAACCCUGACGCAGCCAUGCCGCGUGUGUGAAGAAGGCCUUCGGGUUGUAAAGCACUUUCAGAGGGGAGGAAAGGGCGCUGGCUAAUAUCCAGCGCAGUUGACGCUACCCUCAGAAGAAGCACCGGCUAAUUCCGUGCCAGCCGCCGCUGUAAUAC
rnacentral:rRNA from 1 species